rnacentral:rRNA from 1 species
UACGGAGGAUCCAAGCGUUAUCCGGAUUUAUUGGGUUUAAAGGGUGCGUAGGCGGAUUGAUAAGUUAGAGGUGAAAUGUCCGAGCUCAACUCGGGAACUGGCUCUAAUACUGUUGAUCUAGAGAGUAGAUGCGGUAGGCGGAAUGUAUGGUGUAGCGGUGAAAUGCUUAGAGAUCAUACAGAACACCGAUUGCGAAGGCAGCUUACCAAUCUAUAUCUGACGUUGAGGCACGAAAGCGUGGGGAGCAAACAGG